rnacentral:rRNA from 1 species
GACGAACGCUGGCGGCGUGCUUAACACAUGCAAGUCGAACGGAAAGGCCCUGCUUUUGUGGGGUGCUCGAGUGGCGAACGGGUGAGUAACACGUGAGUAACCUGCCCUUGACUUUGGGAUAACUUCAGGAAACUGGGGCUAAUACCGGAUAGGAGCUCCUGCUGCAUGGUGGGGGUUGGAAAGUUUCGGCGGUUGGGGAUGGACUCGCGGCUUAUCAGCUUGUUGGUGGGGUAGGGGCUUACCAAGGCUUUGACGGGUAGCCGGCCUGAGAGGGUGACCGGCCACAUUGGGACUGCGAUACGGCCCAGACUCCUACGGGAGGCAGCAGUGGGGAAUAUUGCCCAAUGGGCGGAAGCCUGAUGCAGCAACGCCGCGUGCGGGAUGACGGCCUUCGGGUUGUAAACCGCUUUCGCCUGUGACGAAGCGUGAGUGACGGUAAUGGGUAAAGAAGCACCGGCUAACUACGUG